rnacentral:rRNA from 1 species
UACGAAGGGGGCUAGCGUUGUUCGGAAUUACUGGGCGUAAAGCGCGCGCAGGCGGUUUUUCAAGUCAGUGGUGAAAGCCCGGAGCUCAACUCCGGAACUGCCAUUGAAACUGUGAAACUUGAGGAUGAGAGAGGUGAGUGGAAUUCCCAGUGUAGAGGUGAAAUUCGUAGAUAUUGGGAGGAACACCAGUGGCGAAGGCGGCUACCUGGACCGGUUCUGACGCUGAUGCGCGAAAGCGUGGGUAGCAAACAGG